rnacentral:lncRNA from 1 species
UGUCUCUAAAAAUCUUAUUAUAAAUAUUUUGACCUCAUUUGUUUGCACUUAAUAGAGGUUUAAAUCUGAAUAAUUCAGACAUUAGACUAUUAAAUACAAUUUUUUCAUAGAUAUUAAAUCAUUAAGUGCAUUUAUUUCCAUUAAAAUUUAAGACACUUAAUGGUUUGACUAGGUCUUAAUCAUUUUAGAUGUAGAGUAAAGUCUUAAUAUCAUUAAGAGGUAUUCAUGUGUGGAUAAUAUUGACCAUCACUCGUCUCUACUCACAAUCACUAGCCACCAUUGAACACCUCUGCCAUUACAACCACCAUU